CCCUCUCUCUCACCUCACCCGACCCCCACCAUAUACGCAGCUCCGUCAACUCUCCCGGCCGCACUUCCACCAUGCUUCCCACCGGCACUAGCUCGUCCGCCGCUUCUUCCCUGCAUCCGUCCACGGCGUGGCCUCCGAUUCAUCCCCGUGUUCCCGUAAACUUCAGCCCGACCCAACGAUUUCGUUCUCUUUUUUCUCGAUCUGGAUCUGCAUUUUUUUCCGAUUUGGAUUUGUAUCCUUUUUUCCAGAGCCUCCUCUCCACUUUUGUUACCACGGCCGGCUAGCUGAGAUCUCUCCAGAGAAACGAGAGCCAGGGAGCUCGCCGCCUGUUUUUUUUGUCUGGAUCCCCGCGCGUUGGACCCGUGCAUCUCCUCCUGGGAUACACGGCUCAGCCCUCAAAACCUAUGAUUUGUGAUUUGUUCCUUCCUGAAUAUAUGCGUUUUGAUCCACCGCGGCCCACCACUGCAUCCUCGGGUCCGGCGGCCGGCCUCCGUACACUGCAGCGAGCGGAGCCGGCCGCUCCCUACCGCGCCGCAUCCCAACCUGUCGUCGUUCCCAAGAUAAGUCCCAGACUGGUGCACCGCGCGAGAUCCGGCGCUGUAGCUCGCGCCAAGGUCGCUGGCGCUGCAGCUCGCGCCAUGGCCACCAGUGAUCCAUCCUGCAGCUCGGAAGGAAGGCACGAGCGGAGCUUCUUACCCAGUCCGUCCACCCUUUUUUCAAGAUUUUUUUUCACUUCGUGAUCUUCCUUUUCUUUUUCGAUCUGCUUCUGCACGAAUUUUCUUGGAUGCACAGAGGUGGGGAGCCAUCAAUUUGUGUUUUUCACGAGUCAACGAUUUGAUUUUCAUCUCCGUGGAAUCUGCACAGGAUCCAUUUUAUUUGUCAGAACAAUAUUCUUUUCUUUCUCACGGGGCGAGGGAGGCCUGGUUGCAAGAUUCAAUAUCUGUAAUUGGGCACGUGGAUAUGAGGUUGGUUUUUCUUGUUACUUCUGUCCGCUGAACUCAUUUAAUUGAAGAUUCCCAUUUACAAUGUGCCAUCCAAACACAUUAAUCGGAGUAAUUUGAUUGUAAAUUCGAAAUGUGUUCCCAGACUUUCUGUUUGAACAUGUACUUUUGGUGAAUGUCAUAUCAAAUUGCAAUUUGAGAUUUGUUCAUUAAUAUGUAUUUUUGAGUGGAUGUCAGAUCGAAGUCCAGAAGAAGGAUUUGCAUAUCUGGAUGCUCGAUCUGGAAUUUCCUUUGGAAGCUAUAGUGUAAUACAAUUGGCUGAUUCCGGUGCUGCGCGGCGGUAUCCUGGAGCGCUGACGGCGUGCAGGAGUCGGGGAAGAAGACCAGCUGGGCACGGAUGCCGUUUUCCAUAGCUUUUUUCUGAAGACCAAUCGCUUGCCGCAACUCCGCAAGGGCUAAGCGUUUCUAUUUCAACGAUAAUGGAAACCUCUGUAACCCCCUUCUUGAAUUUCAAUGCCCUUUGUGUUUCUCUUUCAGUU